AGAAAAAGGACUCAUUUCCCAGGAUUCUGGCAGUUUAAUGAAGUGGACAUGCAAGCUCUGCUCAUAUAGUUCAUCAAAUCAGCGCAUAAUAACAAGGCAUUAUACGCUAAGCCACAGUCACUACAGCAGAUUGUUGCUGAAUUCAGUCGGCUAAUGUCCACAGACCUCAUGAGGUCAUUUUAUAGUGGCCUAGAUGAACAUCAGCCUAGGUUUUUGGAGCUUUUCAAAAACAUUAAUCAUUAUGCAAAACUUAAGGAAAUCCUACUGUGGCUUCAUGCUAAUGACUCUAACCAGAACAAACGAGCUGCUGUUCUGCUUGGCGUGCCCCACUUACUUCAUGAGGAUUCUUCUGGUUUUUUAAAGCUUUGUGAGCCAUCAGAUGAAAUUGAAGACAUCAUAUGGACAUUUUAAUCGUAAGUGAGGAACUUGUGGAGACGUGCUUCCAAAGGAAAUAAUUGACAUCGCUCAUUCUAGAAGAAAGUCUGGUGGUUACUGAAAUCUCGGAUGUCCCCAAGGCAUAUGGACUGCUAAUGGUUUUGCUUUACGCCGUUAAUAUUGACUACCCCAAACAGAUGAAGUAUACCUUUGAGGCCCUACAAAAACUUCUAAUACACAUUGGUGGACGCCGCUGUUCUUCACGUGUUCAUGGUCUUCGCAACAAGUUGCUACGCAAAAAGUAGCUUUUUUGAAGCACCUAUAAGCUUUUAUGUGCCUUUACCUCAUUUUGUAAUGUUUGUGUUAAGUUCUGACAUUUUGAAACCUUUUAUUCUCUUUAUGCACUUAA